rnacentral:rRNA from 1 species
GACAGAGGGUGCAAACGUUGCUCGGAAUUACUGGGCGUAAAGCGCGUGUAGGCGGCGCCGCGAGUCGGGUGUGAAAGCCCGGGGCUCAACCCCGGACGUGCAUUCGAUACUACGGCGCUGGAGUCCUGAAGAGGAGAGCGGAAUUCCCGGUGUAGAGGUGAAAUUCGUAGAUAUCGGGAGGAACACCAGUGGCGAAGGCGGCUCUCUGGACAGGCACUGACGCUGAGACGCGAAAGCAUGGGGAGCAAAC